rnacentral:rRNA from 1 species
UACGUAGGCAGCAAGCGUUGUUCGGAGUUACUGGGCGUAAAGGGUGUGUAGGCGGUUGUUUAAGUUUGGUGUGAAAUCUCCCGGCUCAACUGGGAGGGUGCGCCGAAUACUGAAUGACUAGAGUGCGGGAGAGGAAAGUGGAAUUCCUGGUGUAGCGGUGAAAUGCGUAGAUAUCAGGAAGAACACCCGUGGCGAAGGCGGCUCUCUGGGACGGUACUGACGCUGAGACGCGAAAGCGUGGGGAGCGAACAGG